rnacentral:rRNA from 1 species
UACAGGGGGGCAAGCGUUGUUCGGAAUUACUGGGCGUAAAGGGUCUGUAGGUGGCCAACUAAGUCAGACGUGAAAUCCCUCAGCUUAACUGGGGAACUGCGUCUGAUACUGGAUGGCUUGAGUGUGGGAGAGGAAUGCGGAAUUCCUGGUGUAGCGGUGAAAUGCGCAGAUAUCAGGAGGAACACCAAUUGCGAAGGCAGCUCGCUGGGACGUUACUGACGCUGAGACGCGAAAGCGUGGGGAGCAAACAGG